CUUCACCGAACCCAGCCACAGCGGCUCUGCCCGGUCCUGCCCGUAGGUGGCCAGCACCGCCUGCGCCUC
rnacentral:antisense_RNA from 1 species